GGUGCUGCAACGGUGCCUCCCCGCUUUCCCCGGGGGGCCAGCGGGUGUGAGGGGGCCAGAACAAGAGCGCUUUGAGGCAGCCCUAUCUCCGGAGGGAAGUGGAGGAGAUAAUGCAGCUUCUCACUUUCCCAGCCCGUCCCAGACGGAGAUAACCCAGGGGAGACGGGGUGCCGGAGCCCUACGAGCGGCGAGGCCACCCACCUUCCCCCCCCCGGGUCCCCCCACGAUCCCACUAUCACAAACUCCAGGCUGAAAUCUGAGGACCCGCUCGGAAGAACCGCCUGAGACAGACGAUGAUAAGCCGGCCAGAGCUGGUGGGGAGGGGGACAAGACUCCAGUGUCCCCUGGGAAAUGACCCAUAGGCUGCAGCCGCCCUUCCCCAAGGCUCCUUCGACCCAGGCCCUGCCAGGGAACCCACCCUGACCCACCCCACUCUCUCCAGAGCCGCCCUAGACAGAGCUCCUUCCAAAGGCCCAUGGAAGAACCUGGAACCAGAGAAGGUGGGGGUCUUGCCCAGGUCACAGUGAGGACUUCAGCCCAGAUCCCCCGGCUGCUGUAAGUUUCUCUUCAGCACACCGGACCACCUUCUCGAAUACCGGUCAGAUACUGGGGGGAAGGGGCAGGCGGCGGGGUGCCAGCACCAGGUCUGAGUGCUAGAGGGUGGGGUGGGGAAAAGAGGAAGGAGCUGCACGGUGGGGAGGGAACCCAGACCUGGGAGCAGGACACCGGGUCUCUGCCUCCAGCUCUGCAGCCAAAUCACUGGGACCCCUUGACCCAGUCCCUGCGCCUCUCCAAGCCUCAGUUUCCCCAUGCAGAAACAGAGAUUAUAACGAUUUUGCCAUACGAGUGUUGCAUAGGGAAUUGAGAGACUCCACUUGUUCGAGCGCCUUGGGGCGGCGCCUGGACCCUGGCAAACACUCUAAGGAAUUGACGUGAUUCUGCGGUUUUCUUCUCCUGCUCAAACAGAGCACUGUGGGGGGCAGGGCAGCCCCGGUCCCAGGCUUCCGCGUCCACCCUCUCGGCAAGUCUGCUGAGCCAGUGACCGUCCUGUGGUCGGCACGUCCAUCCAGAAGGCACAGCUGGCCGGCCCAGGGCUGGGGGAACAACUGAUGGAUGAAUGCGUGAGCGCCGGAGCCGAUCCGCCCCGUUGCUUGCCAGAGGAGGGGCUCUCAGCCCGGCUUCCUCCCCAGCCUGACCCUCCUCUUCCCCCGUUUUAGCUUCCUGCGUCACCCCCGCCCCCAGGUGGAAGCAACAGGUGGACAGUGGAGAGGAGCACUCAGCCAAGAGACAAAUGUGCUGCUUCCCACGGGCUGGCAGCCCAGGGACUGACCACCUGCUCUCCGCUCACCACCAGCCCGAGCAAGGCCUUCCCGCAGACCCACGCUUCCCGGCAUUUGGUGCCUAAGAGCGCGGACUGGCGCGAGACCCAGGACACGGAGAGGCCCCUGUGCACGGAGAGCCCUUGCAGCCCAGUGGCUGGAGGUGAGCCACUUCCGGAGGGGGGGAGGGGGGUGUGGAAGCUCCAAGCCCCUCAUCUUGACUUUCAGUGAAGUCACCUGUAGCACCGGCUCUGGCUCUCACAGCAGAAUGAACGUUAGAUAGGGAAACUGAGGCCCAGAGCAGGACGUGUCUUUUCCAAGGUCACAGAAUGAAACAGAGGCAGACAGAAGUGGAACUCAGGGCUCAGUUCUGUGCUCCUGCAGCCCCAGGGCGGGGCUCCUAAUACCUCCUCAUCCCCACCGUCGCCCAUACCCUGGAACAGACACUGCUCCAAAAACGUACAUGAAAGAAAGACGAACACCGUGAUUCGUGAGUCGCGCCACGAACAACAUGACGCUCCGCGAACGAAGCCGGUCGCCAAGGCCACGUGCUCCGUAUGGUUUCAUUUAUGCGAAACGUCCAGAGGAGAAGACACAUCCACUCAGGGCCUCUGUUUGCCAUCUGUCAAAAGGGCUCCAUCAGUGGUUUUCAAACUGCGUUUCAAGGCACCCCGGGGGCCAAGAAGAGAUUUCCACCGCCCUGGAGAAAGGAUGCCACUGAGGUUCCCCUGGGAACCCACCCACGUCCUGCCUCCCCUUUAGGCCUGGCCCAACCUACAGGAUGCGGCUGCCAAAUGUAGGAACCACCCAGCAGGUGCCAAAGGGACAAGGGCAAAGACGUUCGUCGUGGCAUUGUGUCUGAUGGAGAAAAGCUGGAAACGACCUCAUGUCCAUCAGCGAGGGCUCGUCGAAUGAAGGACGGCAGAGUCACACGUGGACUAGUGGAAAGGAUGAAGUCAGCUGUAGAGAGAGAAUCUGGACCCUCUCCUGAUACGCGCGUGGAUGGGCGGGUGAGAGCCAUUCACGAAUGUUCUGCGGAGCGUGAACCCCUUUGAGUUUUCAAAGCACAAUCUCGGGGCGCCUG